rnacentral:rRNA from 1 species
CGGCGGACGGGUGAGUAACACGUGGAUAACCUACCUAUAAGACUGGGAUAACUUCGGGAAACGGACGGCUAAUACCGGAUAAUAUAUUGAACCGCAUGGUUCAAUGGUGAAAGACGGUUUUGCUGUCACUUAUAGAUGGAUCCGCGCCGCAUUAGCUAGUUGGUAAGGUAACGGCUUACCAAGGCAACGAUGCGUAGCCGACCUGAGAGGGUGAUCGGCCACACUGGAACUGNGACACGGUCCAGACUCCUACGGGAGGCAGCAGC